UACGUAGGGGGCGAGCGUUGUCCGGAUUUAUUGGGCGUAAAGAGCGUGUAGGCGGUUCGGUAAGUCUGUCGUGAAAUCCUGAGGCUCAACCUCGGGCGUGCGAUGGAUACUGCCGGGCUCGAGUCCGGAAGAGGCGAGUGGAAUUCCCGGUGUAGCGGUGAAAUGCGCAGAUAUUGGGAGGAACACCAGUGGCGAAGGCGGCACUCUGGGCCAGUACUGACACUGAGGAGCGAAAGCGUGGGUAGCGAACAGG
rnacentral:rRNA from 1 species